AUGGGCCGAGAAGAGAACCCGAGGAGCCCCAGUCCGCCGGGUGGGCUGACAGACAGCAGCCAGGAGGGAGACGCAGCGGGAAGGCUCGGGGCGGUGGGGGGCGGGGGGCAAAGGGGAAAGCGGGCCAAGCGGAAGGGCUGCGGGCAGUGUCCGAGAGGCAGAGACGCCAAGGACCGAGGGCGGCCCUGGUGGCCCUCGGGGAGCCGCAGGCGGAUCGGUGAGAGGACUUGUAGGGACAAGCGCAGGCGAGGCUGGUCGCGUCCGGCGAGGAAGACGUGAAAGGGCGAGAGGCAGAUGGAGGCGACUCCUUGGAGGGGCCCGGCUGCGAAGGGAAAGAGAAGGACGUCACUGGUUUAGAGUUUUUUGUCGUCGUCACUUUUUCUUAAGUUUAUUUACUUUGAUUAUUUUUUUUAAUGUUUUUUAUUUAUUUUUGAUACAGAGCAAGACAGAGCAUGAGAUGGGGAGGGGCAGAGAGAGAAGGAGACACAGAAUCCGAAGCAGGUUCCAGGCUCUGAGCUAGCUGUCUGCACAGAGCCUGAUGCGGGGCUCGAACCCACAAAUGUGAGAUCUGACCUGUGCCGACGUCGGAGGCUUAACCCACUGAGCCACCCAGGCGCCCCUACUUUGAUUAUUUUUAAGCUUAUUUAUUUUGAGAGAGAGCGCGUGAGCGAGCGAGCAGGGGGGCCCAGAGACAGAGAAUCCUAAGCAGGCUCCUCGCGGCCAACGCAGAGCCUGACACGGGGCUUGAACCCACGAACCGUGAGAUCGUGACCUGAGCGGAAACCGAGUUGGACGCUUAGCCAGCGGAGCCGCCAGGUGACUCGUCCGUGUGGCUUUUUAAGACAAAGUUUGAUUAUCAUAAAAGCAAUGCAUGCAGGGUGAACUUUUUGAGAUAGCAUGAAACAAUAUGAAAGUCUGAAUAUCCCUUCCCUCGAAAGGUCAUCGCUGGUAAGUUUGUUGUCUGAUACUUCAUAACGUACGGAACACGCGUGCGUGUAAAGCUCAUGGGUCCCUAUGUACGGAAACACACACUCGGUGUGUAGGAACCUCGGUGUGAUUAUAACACACAAGCUAGCAUGCCUGAUCCCUACCUUUUCUUCACUCAGUAUGUCCUGAAGCCUUUCCAGAUCUUUCUGACUUACAGCCUGCCUCUCGCCCCGCUCACCGUGCUCCCGCCGCCCUGACGGCCCGCGGUUCCUGGAACACACUGGGCACACUCAGGCCUUCGGGCUCCUGCACUCGCUGUCCCCUCUGCCUGCACUGUCUUUCCCUGACAUCCUCUUGGCGCCCUCCCUCACUUCCUCCAGGCUGCUACUAAAUGUCACCUCCGCAGAGAGCCAACUCCCUGUCACCGGUGAGUGCUUGCCCGGCUUCCUUUCUCUUCACAGCACUUGUCUGUCCCAGGCCUGGUGACGUGUUUGGUGGCAGUGUCCCGCACAGGGAU
rnacentral:lncRNA from 1 species